CAGUAGCCGCGGUAAUACGAAGGGGGCUAGCGUUGUUCGGAUUUACUGGGCGUAAAGCGCACGUAGGCGGACUUUUAAGUCAGGGGUGAAAUCCCGGGGCUCAACCCCGGAACUGCCUUUGAUACUGGAAGUCUUGAGUAUGGUAGAGGUGAGUGGAAUUCCGAGUGUAGAGGUGAAAUUCGUAGAUAUUCGGAGGAACACCAGUGGCGAAGGCGGCUCACUGGACCAUUACUGACGCUGAGGUGCGAAAGCAUGGGGAGCAAACAGGAUUAGAUACCCCGGUAGUCCCUGUCUCUUAUAU
rnacentral:rRNA from 1 species